rnacentral:lncRNA from 1 species
AGUACCUGGAAGCCCUCCCAGUAUGGGAGGAGGCCUAUGAUACAGAAUUUCAAAGGGGGAGUAUGCUGUUCUCUUAGAAGGGGUACACUUAAUUUUAAACAAUACUAUAGGAAGGACUUGUGUCUAUUUUAAAUUUGUUUCUUGACAUACUUUCCAGAAACUUUUUCUGAUAGUUCGAUUCAUUUGCUGCACUUUCCGGAACUCUAAGGCAUUUCUGUGAAGUCCACUUGAAGAUCUUCAAAAUGAGCUGCUCCAGAGGCUUCUAUUCCCCGAGGUACAGAGGGGCCUUGCUUCGCAUUGUGCUGUCCACAGAAUAAGUUGGCACCAGAUCAAGCAUUUGAAGGAGUAGCAGGGCUGUGACUGAUGUCUGG